rnacentral:lncRNA from 1 species
GAUAAAGUUAACAUAUUAAUAUACCUAAGAGACAUUUAGUAAUAAUAUUGGUUAUAUGAAUGAUUUAUGACAAUUGCGUGCUAAAAACAAAAAAUCUAAUGAGAAUUAACGUUGUCAUAUUUUACUUAUAAAAUGAUCAAAUAAUAGCUUGUUUGCUACAUGCAAAUUAAAGAGACAAAAUAUGGCCAAAAUACUAAAACUUGUUUAUGCUUUAAUUAUAUGGAUUUCUCUAAUUCUUGUUGUAACCAGCCAUAGUAAAUCCUUUUUUUUCACUUACAAUUCAAUCUUUUUUCUUAUUCAUAUAAAAAUCUUUCAACCCUUUUAAUAACAUUCAUUUAUUUUUACUUGACGUGCAGGUUUUCUCCCCUGCGGGUCUAAUAGGGAUUGUAAAGAUGAUUUAUGUUUCCCUCCUAGAAAGCCUGGAUGUCAUUUGGAUGCAUGUCGUUGCUUAUAAUCGUAACAACUAUGUUAAAAAUAAAUCUAUGUUACUUCUACAAUUAUGAAAUUUCUUGCCCUUUUAGUUUCUCUUCAUAAGGUUAAAAGCAUGUUAUUUUAUGAAAGAAGUGUUACCUUUGUGUACUCGUAUAGUGGAUAUCAUGAAUACCAACUUUAUUGAAUAAUUUUAACUAAUUAAGUUAAUGAAUAAUUUUAUAUGAGAAACAUUUAAGUUCAUUUUUCAUAUAAAAAUAACACGAUUUUUUACAUAUUCAAUAAAGACUGAAGAACCAUAUUAAAAUAUUUAAAAGCCUUGAUCAUAAAAAGUGAAUUACAUUCCAACCAAAGAUUAUACCACCUAUGUUAGUAGGCAAUUUUCAAUGCAUAUGUUGUUGCCAUUAGUUCAUCCUGAAAGGACUGAGAGACUAAGGUUGAUAGGCAAGCAACCCACAAAGUAAGUAAGACAAGGAACCCACCAAGGUUGUAGGUGUCGGUGAACACUUGUAUUGAGAAAAACAUUUGUUUUCAUUUUCUAGUUUAUUAUGAAAAUACAAAAGGUUAUGUUGUAGCUAGAAACUAAGUUAUAGUCAGUUUUUUUGUCUUUGAAAAAUCUAAGAUAUAAGUGAUUUGAAUUAGGAGAUAUUUUAGUAAAUAUGUAGCCAGUUUGAUUAUAGUAAAAAUAUCUCAAGUGUGAAGGGUGUUUUUGUUAAAAACAUUAAAAGGUUGACUUCUUUGUUUUAGAUCAAGGAGAGCCUAAAAUGAAUAGUUGGAGUAUCUAUUAUGUUUGUUCAGUUUGCCCUCUAUCCUCCGAAUAUCCUCCUAUCUAUAGAUCUCCUUCUCCCCUUGCCUGACUCUCUAGAUCCUUCAUCAAUUCUUCUAUUAAUAACGUUUGUCGCCCCUUAUAAUUGUCCUUUAGUGACCGACUCUUCAAUAAUUAUAACUUCUUUCCAUAAUGUAUCAUAUUGUAACAAACAUCUUAUGACUCUUCAUAUGGUAUCAUAGCUUUGUCAAUAGAUCCGAUUUGUACUAGUUGAACCAUCCUCGGCUUAUGGGAAGUCGGUUCCGCCCCGCUUAUUCAAAUAGCAUAAUGAGAUUUUGAUUAGUAGAUGAUGUCCCGACUAUCCGAUAUGUUAACCAUACCAUACUUGACUAUCAUGUCAACUCGGCCUCAAAGAACUCACACGCUCAAGAUAGGCUUCACCGAUCUCACACCUCGAUUGGUCAACUAAUUUUUUGGGAUGUACAUAAGCCCUCCGAGCACUAGGUAUGAAAAAUCGAAGUGUCCGGACAAGAAAAGCCUAGAAAAUCUUCCUUGGUCUCUCUAUGACGGAAUACUCGGAUUUUCACCGUCAUUUUUAAUGAUGACAAGUUUUCUCUCUCUCCUCAUCAUGAUGCCUUUUAUGGGAACUCCCACUUCAUCAUUUUGUCUUCUGUUACAACUUCCUGACUGUUACAAAUAUAUUACUUUUAAAGGUUUGGUUUUUAUUCAAAUAUCCCUUCCAAGCAUUUCUUUCAAUAGUCUCUCCCACUGAGUAUCUAUCAAUUGGACUCCCAACCUUCAAACUUCAGGUGCCAUUACUCAUUUGUUUCUUUUUCUUUAUAAUUGUUAUGUCUUCAUAUUCAAUCAUUCUUACCGCUAGUGAUAGGAAUAGAAUUUGGAAUGCCUAUAUGUGAGAAUGUGAGGGUUAUUUGAAAAGAGAAGAUUUUGACCAAAUUAUUAGAGAAGUUUACAGUGAGAUCCCUUCACCCACUAGUAACGUUGAUUUGGAGUCUUCCUCCUCAGGUUUUCUGAAUAUUCAGAUGGAUGUCACAGGAUCUUUGAUAGACAAAGAGGUUUUGAGCUAUAACCACAAUAUUGUUGAUGAAAGCUAUAUUUCAAAGUUUCGUUCCAAUACUUCAGUCUCUUCCACCUGGAAUGAAGAGGACGUAAUUUUGGAACCCUACGAAAUUGGCAAAAAGGUGUGCACCAUUCGUCCUAAAGAAGUAUUGGACGGAUAUUUUUAUUUUUAUUUAAGAGUCAUUGAAUAUUUCAAAAUUCGCUUUCUCUUUAAUCACUUCGAAUCUGACCUUCUCAUAAUUUUAAACAUAGCUUCAUCCCAAUUACGCCCUAACAACUGGGGUUUUAUUAAAGCUUUUUAGAUUGUUUGUGAUACGAUAAACAUAGUAUCGACUUAGGGUUAUCUUCCCGUUCUUUGAGUUAAAGGGUACCGAUAAAAUAGGUUGGGUUUCCCUUAGCAUAAUUCCGGAAAAGAGUUUUCUACAGGCUUAUACUACUCACUAUAAGGGUUUUAAAGACAAUUUCCUUCGAGUUAAAAGUGGGACGAGAUGUCCCCAUGUUAUAUAUGAUUUAGACGGGAAUCGUCGUUUUCUGAUCUACUAGUCGGACAACCAUUUACAUGUUUCUAGUUUUGACUACGAUAAAUUAAAUGAUUUGAAAGUUCGAUCUUUAGCUAUCUUGGAUGCUUUCCGGGUAGUGAAAGUUAAAGAUCUUUUACAGGUGAUUGAUGAACCCAAAAAAAAUUCUAAUUUUUUGGGUAAUCGUCCAUAUGUUAUUUAUUAUUCUAACAUAAUAUCAUUAAUCAUCCUUUUCACUGAUCCUAACUUUUAUUUCAGUCUAAAUGACAAACCUCAAACUCUAUGAACUGGGGAAACUGAAGGCUGAGGCAAGAGCAAGGCGUAUGGAUCAAUCUUUUUCCAAGAGUGACCUUACGGGAGUUCAUACUCUAGCCCUCAAAAUAAAUAAGUCGGACAUUGCUAAAAUGGCUUCCAUCAUGCCGGACCUCCAGUCAAUACCUAUCCCUGCUUCUAAGGAACCAAAACCCACCCCUCCCAAGAAAAUAAAAACCUUGAUGAGUGACGAUGUCAGUCUAGAAGACUUGACGAUUACCACUCUUAUGCAAGAUUCAGAUAGUAGUCAUCAAGCCAGACCCUCUUCUGAAUUUAAAUUUUGUUCCAACAACUUUGACUGGUUGAGGUUCCUCUAUGAUCACGUAAGCACAUCCGAGGAUGUUAAAAAGGUAAAUUUUAUUAGUGCUCAACAAUUGACCCAAAACCUUAGGGCAUACUUGAUGAGGUGCACCAUUAUGAGUAUGGGUUUAUUUGAAGUGGGUGAUGCACAAGAGCAUAACGAGAUAUGUCUUAACAAAAAGAUGACUCAGUCAAGGGAUGACUUGAAAACACAGACCUAUCAAGUAGAGGAUUUGACCAAACAACUCUUUAAGAUGAAGAAGUAGAAGGAUUUGUCAACACCUCGAUUAAUGGAAAUGACUACAAAGAAUUAAACCAUGGUAACUAGGUGCUCAGAACUGGAAGCAGUUAACGUUAGCUUAACUCAAGAAGCAGAGCAAUCUCGUAAUCUCAACGAGGCUUUGAAGAAAUCCCUUCAAGAUGCAUAGGUGGACUUGCUUUUUAUCGGCGAAAAAGCUUUUAAGAGGGCCAAAGCCCAAGCUCUAUGCAUCACACCAGACGUACACGUGUCAAAGAUGGAUUUCUUUAAGAUUGUGGUGGAUGGGAAAGUAGUCGAUAUGGAUGAUGCUUCUCCCGAAGCAGAAGGCUCGAGAGGCUUGAUGGAUGACAACCCGACAUCAGAAGCUCAGAUAAAUGAAUAUGAAAUUUGAGUUUAUUUUUAAGCCUUUUGUUGGCCAUCAAUGGUGAUUUGCACCUUGUAUCUUCUCUGAAUAAUAUUUUGCUUUCUUGCUGAACAUUAAGCCUUUUAAAGGCUUUGCAAUGACGUCUAUUUUAUUGCUUUGAUGUGUAUUAUCUUUGACUUCACUUAUUAUUACUUGAAUUAUGAAUUUGGGGCUGACCUUGUAGGCCGAUGCAAUCAUCUUAUCCCUGAACACAGAGUCUGGGAAGUUAAGAUAAGUUGGAUGCUUUGUUGGUGGUAAAUUGAUUGCAUCAUUACACUUACUAAGCAUGACCCAGUUGCAGUUGAUGUUUUGGAAGCCCCUGGUUAUUUGGAUUUCUCUUAGGCCAUAGGUUUUGUUCUUAUAUAUCCCGACCAAAGUUGAUUAUGCCAGAGGCUUCAAGUGCGUUGGGACUUUAGUUAGGUCAAAGGUUUCAUUAAAUGUUACCCGACCGAAGUCGAUAAUGCCAGAGGCUUCAAGUGCGCUUGGACUUUAGUUAGACCAGAGAUUUCAUUAAAUGUUACCUGGCCGAAGCCGAUUAUAUCAGAGGCUUCAAGUGCGCUUGAACUUUAGUUAGGCUAGAGGAUUCAUUAAACGUUACCCGACCGAAGUUGAUUAUGCUAGAGGCUUUAAGCGCGCUUGGACAUUAGUUAGGCCAGAGAUUUCAUUAAAUGUUACCUGGCCGAAGCCGAUUAUGCCAGAGGCUUCAAGUGCGCCUGGACUUUAGUUAGGCCAGAGGUUUCAUUAAACGUUACCCUGCCAAAGCUAAUUAUUCCAGAGGCUUCAAGUGCACUUUGACUUUUUCCUGGAUCACAACCUAGGAUUUUAUUUAAAAAUAUAUUUGUCUCAACUAUGGGUGCCUCAUUAAAAAUCUUUGCUCUUUGUAAGGGAAAAUAGUGCAUCCCAUAAUUUUUAUUCACUAUAUUUAUUACAUAGUUUAACUGAGAUAAAAUUUGGGACUAAUUACAUUCCAAGUUUUGUGUAUUUAAACUCCCUCUAAGCUCUCUAACUUGUAAGCCCAUUUGCUCAACCUCUGACGAACACGGUAGAUUCCCUCCCAAUUCAGAGCCAACUUUCCUUUCUUCGCGGGAUCAAUUAAUUUUUUACCACUAAGUCACCCUUGUGAAAUCCUCUCUGUCUCACUUUGAUAUUGAACCUCCGAGCAAUUUUUGUUUAGCUGCAAAUUCCUUGAUGUGAGUCGUUUCCCUUAUUUCAUCCAACAAAUCCACCGAAACAUCCAAGCCUUCCGAGUUUAUGCUUUCAUUGAAAUCCAAACACCUUCACGUUGGUGUGUUAAUUUCAACUGGUAUCAUCAUAUCUGCACCGUAAACCAUCAUGAAUGGAGUCUCCCGGGUAGUUGAAUGCGGCGUGGUGUGGUAAGACCAUAAAAUUUAGUGUAGGUACUUCUCCCACAAUCCUUUCGCUUCAUCAAGAUUUUUUUUUAUUUUUGACAAAAUGAUUUUAUUUACUGCUUCCGCCUAACUGUUGGCUUGAGGUUUCUCUACCGAGAUGAAUCGAUUUUGUAUUCCCAUGUAUUUGAAAAAUUUAACAACUGAGGUACUAGAGAAUUGAACACCAUUGUCAGAUACGAUAACUCCCGGAAGACCAAAGCGGAAAAUUAUAUUACGCCAGUAAAACCGACGUACCCUUUUUGAUGUGAUGUGUGACAAGACUUCUGCCUCCACCCAUUUGGUGAAGUAAUCCAUAACCACUAUUAAGAAUUUUAACUUUCCCUGAUGCCACGGGAAAUGGACCAAAGAUAUCUUUCCCCCAUUGAUAAAAUGGCCAUGGGGAAAACAUUGAAUGCAACACUUAUGCGGGUGAAUGAAUAAAAGGAUCAAACAUAUGAAACUUUCCACAAAUGCUUACAAACUUCGCACAAUCCUGCAACAUGCCCGGCUAAUAGUAUCCUACUCGCAAUAUCUUUCCGGAAAAUUCCCUUCCUCCGAUGUGACUGCCACAUACUCCUUCGUGUACCUCCUUCAUGAUAAAAAUCACGUCUUUCUCUGAGAUGCACCUCAACAUAGAAGCCUUUCUACCCAUUUUAUAAAGUUGAUCGACCAUAAUGAGGUAUCUCGCGAUUAUUCAUCUAAUAUGCUUAGCUUCUCUUUCCUCUUCAGGUAGUUCAUUCUAAAUUAAAUAUCGAAUGAUAGGUGUCAUCCAUCCCUGAGAUUCAUUCAGUGUCAUGACGUCCUCCAUUUUGGUACUUGGUUUUUCCAGAGUUUCUUGAAUUACUAUUUUAUUUUAGCCACCGCUCUUGAUGCUUGCUAAUCGGGCUAAGAGGUCAGCUCUAGUAUUCUCCCCCUUAGGGAUAUGAUUUAUCUUGAACUCUUUGAAUGCUUGGGACAUCUUGGUAGCUUUCUGCAGAUAUUUGAUUAACAACAAAUCCUUUGUCUGAAAUUCUCCUUUAACUUUACUAGCAACCAACUGGGAGUCGGUCUAGAUGAGUAAAUGCAUCACUCAGACCUCAUUUUCCAACUUCAUCCCUGCAAUUAAGGCUUUGUAUUCUACCUGGUUGUUGCUAGUCUGAAAAUUAAAACACAAAGAGUAUUCAAGCAUUAAGUCUCCUGGUCCUCCGAACACUAUAUCGGCUCCGCUUCCUUUGAGAUUAGAGGACCCAUCCACAGAUAAAGUACAUUUGUCCGAUGAUUCUUCUAAAACCAGAGCACUUAAUUCAUUCAAGAAAUCAAUGAGUAUCUGAGAUUUGAUGCAACACUGAGGCGUAAACUUUAUAUCAUAUUCUGACAGAUUCACCGCCCAAGCAACCAUUCUUCCCGCCAAAUUUGGAUUUUUCAAAACUUGUUUAAUAGGAUAAUUAGUCCUGACGACGAUAGGAUGUCCUUGAAAAUAGUACCUCAAUUUCUGGGCUAUGAUCACCACCGCCAAAGCGAGACGUUCAAUCUCCUGGUAACGUAAUUCUUCCCCCUUCAACACCUAACUAAUGAAGUACACUGUUUUUUCCAUCUUAUCGGUUUCCUGAACCAAUACCAAAGUCAUAGCUUUGUAUGAUACAACUAAGUAUAUGAUAAAUGGUUCAUUCUCCCUGGGUCAUACCUAGAUCGGGGGUGCAGAUAAUAAACGCUUUACCUAUUUAAAAUCUUCUUCUCAUUCUUCUGUCCACUGGAAAUUCGUUGAUUUCCUCACUGCAGCGAAGAAAUGGAUUGGCUUGUUCCCUGCAUAAUAUGAAAAAUGAGAUAAGGUUGUCAUGUGCCCUGUUAAAUGUUGUACCCCUUUCACUGUCGAUGGACUCCUCAUGUUAAUGAUUGGUUGACACUUAUCCGGGUUCCCUUUUAUUCCUCAACCGGUUAACAUAAAUCCUAGGAGCUUCCUUGCUUGUACUCCAAACAUACAUUUGUACGGAUUCAGCCUCAUAUCAUAACCUCGAGUUGAUGGUGAAUGUUUCUUCUAGGUCUGUGACAUAUUAUCCAUGUACACCUCAAAGUUUUGUCCUAUUUGGGAGGCAAACACCAUGUCCAUCAGCCUCUGGUAGGUAGCCCCUACAUUUUUCAUCUCGAAAGGCAUCACCUCAUAGUAGUAACUGUUCAUAUUGGUCAUAAAUGCCAUUUUAUGGGCAUCUAACGAAUUCAUUCGAAUCUGGUUAUAUUCCGAAUAAGCAUCCAAAAAAUUAAGAAGUCUAAAACUGGAAGCCCCGUUAAUGAGUCGAUCAAUGUGACGGAGCAGGUAAGAAUCUUUUAGACACACCUUAUUCAAGCGGUGAAGUCUACACACAUUCACUAUUUUUAUGAUUUCUUCUUCAUCAUAACUAUAUUAGCUAACCAAGUCGGGUACCUGAUCUCUUUAAUAAAGUCGACCUUCAUAAGCUUUUCGACUUCGUCUUCCACAACCUUUCUCUUUUCUUCUCCUUACUUCCAUUUCCUCUAUGUUAUCGGUUUGACAAUGAGAUCCAACGUUAAAUGGUUACAAACCAUGUUGGGAUAAAUGUCGGGCAUAUCCGAUGGCUUUCACGCAAACAUAUCCAUGUUCUGCCUUAAAAUUCGGAUGAUCUCGUCUUCCUCCUCCUGGUAUAAGUUAGAGCUGACAUGAGUUGCUUGCGAAGGUUGAGCACCAACCUGUACUGUAUUUACAUCCUCCAUAGGCGUGAGACUAUCCUCUACCGGAUCUUCCCUCUAGUCGAUGUUAACUGAUUUCACUUUCACUUGAUCAUCUUUGACUAACUCAUUAGUGAGACUUUUCUUCUUUAGCUUCAGACUAUUUUUAUAACACUUUCUUUCUAUCUCUUGAUCCCCUUUUACUAUUCCUGUUUAGCCAUCUUUCAGAGGGUAUUUCAAUGUGAGGUACAAAGUAGACAACUCUGCCUCUAAAGUAAUAAAAGAAAGUCUGGCUAUAAUAAUAUUAUAGGGAGAGGCGACGUUGAUAAUUAAGUACUUUACAAUAAUGCUUUUUGAACUUUCUCCAUUACCAAAAGUAGUUAUCAUGGGUAAGUGUCCCAACACCUGUGUCGGUUCUCAUGAGAAUCCAACCAGUGAACCUGUAAAGAGAAACAACUCGAUAAUAUCAAAGUUCACUCCCUUGAGUUCUUCCUAGUAUAGAACAUCGGCUAAGCUUCCUGGGUCGACCAAAACGCAUUUUACGUCCCAGUUCUGAAUUUUUACUUUAAUCACCAUUGGUUCUUCAUCGUGAGGGAUCACUUCUUCGACAUCUUUUUUAGGAAAUGUGGUGGUAUCUUGAUGAUUCGUUCCUUCUGAAAGUGACCCCUGCCUGAUGUGCAUCACUGUUCGGGUAUAUUGUUUUCUUGCCGAACUUGUUUCUCCUCCUCUAGAAAACCCCCAUUCAAUAGUAUUUGAUGAAUGACGAGUCAUGUGCUUGUGCUUUAGUGUGGUGGAAGCCCCUACAAUUGUCAUCUGAUUAUUGAUGACAAUAAUAUGCUCUCGUGGGUCAGUUAAAGUGUUAUCGUUUUGAUAAUGAUUUUGUGUGGCCUGAGCAAGUUUUACUGAGGCCCCACGGUGGGCGCCAAAUGUUCUUGCUAAAAAAUAGUAAAAGGUUGACUUCCUUGUUUUAGAUCAAGGAGAUCCUAAAAUCAACGGUUGAAGUGUCUUUUAUGUCUGUUAGUCGCGUUUUUAGUCUGCCCUUUAUCCUUUGAAUACCCUCUUAUUAAUAGGUCUCCUCCCCUUGCCUGACUCUCCAGAUCCUUCAUCAAUUCUUCGGUUAAUAACGUCUUCCGCCCCUUAUAAUUAUCCUUUAAUGGUCGACUCCUCAAUAAUUUUAACUCCUCGCCAUAAUGUAUUAUAUUGGAACCGCUCUCUUAUGACUCUUCAGAUGGUAUCCUAGCUUUGUCAUCGAGAAAUAUUUAUACUAGUUGAACCAUCCUUGGCUUAUGAGAAGUCGGUUGCGCCCCACUUACUCGGAUAGCCUAACUGAAUUCCGAUUAGUAAAUGAUGUCCCGGCUAUCCGAUCUGUUAACCCUAUCAUACUCUACUAUCAUGUCAACUCGGUCAUAAAGAGCUUACAUGGUCAAGAUAUGCUUCACCGAUCUCACACCUCGGGUUGGUCAAAUGAUUUUUCAGAAUGUACAGGAAGAUUAUAUUUAACUAUGUAUUAUGGGGUGAAUCAGAAUAAAUUUUGUAUGCCCUUUUUCUUCUUUAUCUUAUCUUCAACGUCUAAUUCAAACAUACUUUUAUGUUUUUAACUUGAAAAAGUUAUUAUUUGAAUUACAGAAGAUCAUAAUGGCAUAUCUUGAUUAUAAGAAGUGGUUAGAUGCGAUAAAAUCAUAUCCAUGCACACAAACCAUAUAUUGAUAUGGGUUGUAUUAUCUAAUUGAGAAAUACCUACAAGAUGAAAAUGGGUUGGUCUUAUAUAAGACUAACAUGGAUGGUAUUUUGAAUAUAUUUAAGAUAUGAUUAAUUAUAGAGAGUUUUACACAAAAUCAUAAUGUAAAUUAUGAUUAAACUUUUGUUGCAGUCAUAAUGAUAUGCUUUGACUAUAAGUUCGAGCAGAUGGAGAAAGAUGUCACAUUCCUUAAUUGGAAUGACCUCAUGUAUAUGUGAAAUGCAUAUAGAUGGUUUCCUAAAUCCAAAGGAUGCUAUAAAAAUAUAUAAUUAUAUAAAUUUAUUUAUGGAUUAGAGGAACCUUCUAGAUGUUGUAUAUUUUUAUUAGUGAAUUUUAUGAAAAAUUGGAUUAAUGAAUAUCAAGUUUAAAUCAUAUGCACACAAGGAGAUUAGUGGGAGUAUUUGCAUUAUUCUAUUAUAGUAUAUAGGAGACAUACUAAUCAUCAAAACAAGUUUCCUUUAUUUAUAUUAUUUCAAAACCAAUUAACAAUAUAUUCAUAUCAUAGCCUAAAAUAAAUGUUAUGCUUAGAUGACAAUUAUGUAAGUUCUAAAAGGCUUCAGACAUUUGUCAUUUUUAAUAGAAAGGUCAAAAAUAUGAUUUGGAUCUCUCAUUAUUGAGAAGACUUUUGCAUUUAUUGUGUUGUAUAUCUCAUUGAUCUCAUUUAUAAUGAUAAUGGGUUAAUCUUGCAAGUAAGAAAAACUAAAUCUCACUAGCGAUCCAUGUAUGUAUAUUUUAAUAGUUCUAUUUGUUUUAAAUAUAAGAUCGAAAGUUAAAAUUGGAAGAGGUGUAUAGUACUAUAUAUGAAAUAAUUCCCUAUUCCCUAAUAUAGUAUCUUGCAUAUAUGAUUCUUGAUGCACACUUUGCAUAGAUAGAUGUUAAGUUAAUAUUUGAUUGACUCUAGAUCUAGUGAAAGAUUAUUGAAUUAAGCCGUAAUAGCCAACAAUAUUGGUUGUAUUUGCUUUUGUAUCAUAUUAUUAGGCGUUGUAUUUAUUGUGUUACUUGUAUAUGACAUAAUAAAAUCCUUAGAAUAAUUAGUUUUUUUAAUGGUACAUUGAGUAUUCCUUAAUCGUGAGACCUCAUUAAACAUUAGAACAUUAUUCUAUUAUUCUAAAAGUAUUCAUAAUCAGGUUGUAUUGUCAUAUAGCACAACAAUAAUGCAUAUAUAUUAUUAUGUGAGUAGACUAAUGAUUAUAUCUCAUGAGUCAUGUAUAUGAGAUAUCAAGUCUUCACAUAGGUAUCAAUAUUAUGAGUAAUAUUUAUACAUAAUUGACCCACAAUGAGAUUACUACAUAGUUUAUUAUGUAAGUGUCAUAAUUUAUUCUCAUAUAGAUAAAUGUGUAUGUCACCCAUCGACCUAAAACCACAAUGAAUCCUAGAUGUGGAGUUGAGUACUUUACUGUCUUUUAAACGUUGUUUGUAAGAGGUUGACCAUAAAGAUGGUUGAUGGGUACUGCACAAAUCAUGUUGAGGGACAUGGUGGCAUAGAGGAUACUUGUUCAUCCUACUUAUACAAUAGUAAUAUCUAUGGGUAAUUUGAUCAAGUAUGAUUAUAAAAUGCAUGAUCGUGCUCAAAUAAAUCAAUAUGAGAUAUUGAGCUUAUUUGUAUGAUCAAGUAUAUUCGAGGAUGAAGGAAUAUUAUAUUAAACUAUACAAGGGUGAUAUUUUAUGUCUUAUGUUCAAUAUAAAUAUAAGGGCAAACGGGUAAUUGUACACAUGAUCAUUAUCAUGAAAAAUGUUAUGUUAGAUCACAUGACAUUCUCAUUACUUUGGUAACAAUGAUGUGUUGCUAGAUAUCAGAUAUUGUUUAUUAUAUUAAAUAAAUGACAAUGAUAAUGAAUUUUGUGUACACAUGAUCAUUAUCAUAAAAAAAUUUAUGUUAGAUCAGAUGACAUUCUCAUUACUUUGGUAACAAUGAUGUGUUGCUAGAUAUCAGAUAUUGUUUAUUAUUUGAAUUACAGAAGAUCAUAAUGACAUAUCUUGAUUAUAAGAAGUGGUUAGAUGCGAUAAAAUCAUGUCCAUGAACACAAACCAUAUAUUGAUAUGGGUUGUAUUAUCUAAUUGAGAAAUACCUACGAGAUGAAAAUGGGUUGGUCUUAUAGAAGACUAACAUGGAUGGUAUUUUGAAUAUAUUUAAGAUAUGAUUAAUUAUAGAGAGUUUCACACAAAAUUAUAAUGUAAAUUAUGAUUAAACUUUUGCUGUAGUCAUAAUGAUAUGCUUUGACUAUAAGUUUGAGUAGAUGGAGAAAUAUGUCACAUUCCUUAAUUGGAAUGACCUCAUGUAUAUGUGAAAUUCAUAUAGAUGGUUUCGUAAACCCAAAGGAUGCUACAAAAAUAUAUAAUUAUAUAAAUUUAUUUAUGGAUUAGAGGAACCUUCUAGGAGUUGUAUCUUUUUAUUAGUGAAGUUUUAUGAAAAUUUGGAUUAAUGAAUAUUAAGUUUAAAUCUUAUACACACAAGGCGAUUAGUGGGAGUAUUUGCAUUAUUCUAUUAUAGUAUAUAGGUGACAUACUAAUCAUCAAAACAAGUUUCCUAUAUUUAUAUUAUUUCAAAAUCAAUUAACAAUAUAUUCAUAUCAUAGCCUAAAAUAAAUAUUAUGCUUAGAUGACAAUUAUGUAAGUUCUAAAAGGCUUCAGACAUUUGUCAUUUCUAAUAGAAAGGUCAAAAAUAUGAUUUGGAUCUCUCAUUAUUGAGAAGAAUUUUGCAUUUAUUGUGUUGUAUAUCUCAUUGAUCUCAUUUAUAAUGAUAAUGGGUUAAUCUUGCAAGUAAGAAACGAAUUAUUAAGUUAAAUAGAAUUUAAUUUAAUUAGAUAUUAAUUGUAUUAUUAAAUACAUCAACACAAAUAUAAUUUAUUUUAUUAAAUAUAAUAUAAUUAAAUAAAUAAUAAUUAACAAUUAACUAAAUUAGAUGUGAUUAAUUAAUUAAUAUUUUAUUAAAAGAAUUUCAUUAAAUAUAAAUAAUAUUGAGAUUACUUUAGAAAAAUCCAAAAUAAAAGCAUUGGGGUAAUAGUAGUUUUAUGUAUACAUUAAUGAGAUAUUUUCCUAUGAUCUGUAAUCUUUAUAUUUUCUCAAAAAACGAGUAGCACCGCGAUCCAUUUUAUACUCUCGUGGAUUUCGUAAUAACGAUAAUAUUUUCAUGUUCGUGAUCAAAGAUAAAGCACACUUCAAUAUUUGUUAUGAGAAUUUUAUUUUAUGUUUGAGUUGUUAUUAAUGGUUUGAUCAAUAUCCGUCUAACGAAAUUGUUAUUCCCAACAAAAAUUACAAGUGAAGGAGGAAAAUAAUACCGUUUUGUCUUUGUAGAUAAUUUUUUUAGAAUCACAUGAAUUUUAUCUUUAAAAAUUUUAAAUAUUAUUCUAGUAAGUAACGAUUAUGGAGGUGAAUUCACCAAUUCAUCCUAUAAAACAAUUUUUGAUGAAAUGAUAUUUAUGAUAAUAUAUUUUGUGAAAGAACUAAAAAAAGUUGAAUUUUUAAAAGGGAAAGAACCCGAAAAAAUUGACUUGUUGAAAGGGAAAAUAGAACAUCACAAGAAAUAGUUUUAAAAAAUUGCUCAAUGAAUAAAAUAAAAUGUUGAGAAAUAUUUUUGGGAAGAAGCCAUCAAAAUAUUUCUUCCUAUAUUUUAAAUUGAGUUUCAAUAAGAAAUAUUUUCAACAAACUCUCAUAUAUAUAUAUACUCGUUAUACUCAUUACCUUAAUACAAUAUCCUAGUAUAUAUAUAACUCAAUAUCUAUCCUAUUACCUAUACUAUAUUUAUCAGUUUACAUCUGCACUUCAUUAUUCACUUAUCUCCAUGUUACUUCCUAAGUCCCUAAGCAUAUAAACUAACACAACUUAUAUCCCAACUUUCACUAUACUUAAGUUCUAUCUCCAUAUCUCCUAUGACCAAAUACAAAAAAAAAAAAAAAC